rnacentral:rRNA from 1 species
CUACGGGAGGCAGCAGGCGAGAAAACUUUGCAAUGUGCGAAAGCACGACAAGGUUAAUCCGAGUGGUUUGUGCUAAACGAACCUUUUGACAGUCCUAGAAACACUGUUGAAUAAGGGGUGGGCAAGUUCUGGUGUCAGCCGCCGCGGUAAAACCAGCACCUCAAGUGGUCAGGAUGAUUAUUGGGCCUAAAGCAUCCGUAGCCGGCUCUGUAAGUUUUCGGUUAAAUCUGUACGCUCAACGUACAGGCUGCCGGGAAUACUGCAGGGCUAGGGAGUGGGAGAGGUAGACGGUACUCGGUAGGAAGGGGUAAAAUCCUUUGAUCUAUUGAUGACCACCUGUGGCGAAGGCGGUCUACCAGAACACGUCCGACGGUGAGUGAUGAAAGCUGGGGGAGCAAACCGGAUUAGAUACCCUCGUAGUC